rnacentral:pre_miRNA from 1 species
AGUGGGAUUGCUGGGUUGUAUGGUAGUUCUAUUUCUAACCUUUAAAGGAAGUGCCAAAUUGUUUUCCAAAGUGGUUGUACCAUUCUACAUUCCCACCAGCAGU